rnacentral:rRNA from 1 species
AGUGAACGCUGGCGGCGUGCCUAAUACAUGCAAGUCGAACGGAGAGGUGCACGGGUGAGUAUUGUAUAGCUAAUCUGCCCCACACUAGAGGAGAACAGUUGGAAACGACUGCUAAUACUCUAUAGUGUAGGUUGAGGCUAUAUUGUCUCAGCUAGUUGGUGAGGUAAUGGCACACCAAGGCUAUGACGGAUAACUGGCCGGAGAGGAUGUGCAGUCACACUGGACGUGAGACGCGGUCCGGACUCCUACGGGAUGCAGCGAUAGGGGAUAGUGCUCAAUGGGGGGAACCCAGAAGCUGCAACGCCGGGUGAAGGAUGUCGCUAGACGAGGCGGAAAGUCCUUUUGUUAGGGAAGCGGUACCUAACGAAUAAGCACCGGCUAACUCCGUGCCAGCCGCCGCGGUAAUUC